GGAACUAAAGGGCCGCAGUAGCCUGACUGUGCUAAGGUAGCAUAAUCAUUUGGUUUUUGAUUGGGAUCUGGUAUGAAAGGAUAAAUAAGGAGGGUCUGUCUUAUAAUUGUUUUUGAAUUUAAAUUUUUAGUAAGAAUGCUAGGAUUAUUCUAUGGGACGAUAAGACCCUAUAAAGCUUUACUGUUUAUAUUGUUGAUAUUUUUACUAAAUUUAUUUUUUAAACAGUUUUACUGGGGCGGUAGCUAAAUUAAACUUAGUAUAGAUUAUGUUUUUUUGGACCCAUUAGUAGUGAUAUAAGAUUAAGUUACUUUAGGGAUAACAGCAUAAUACCCUUAUGGAGUUCUAAUCGAAGAGGGUGAUUAUGACCUCGAUGUUGAAUUAACUAAAUUUUAAGGUGAAGACGCUUUAAUAAUUAGUCUGUUCGACUAUUAAUUAGUUACGUGAUUUGAGUUCAAACCGGUUUAAGCCAGGUU
rnacentral:rRNA from 1 species